AAAAAUAAAAGCUUCUUUCAAAUCCCACUAUUUUUCAAGACUAACGAUUUCAGCGUAGACAGGGCAGAUCUGCAGCACUGAGUCAGAGUAAGCUACAGAGGCCUCUUCAAGAUGUGAACGUUCCUAUCUAGCUGUUUGGAUCACUUCUCAGCUGCAACUAGAUUUCUAAAUGUGACUGUAUCUUGCAUUCACUACGGCUAAUGGAAAAAACAGCUGCUAUCAAUCAUGACAUUGAUGAGAACUGGCAUGUCAGUGGCACAGAGGAAGAACAGGAUGAUGGACUUAAGAGCCUGAACUGCCUAUGACACAGCAACAAAAUGUAACAUGGGCACAUUAUUUGGAUACUUACCUAAGACAAACAAUCAUAAACAUUAUCUGGUAAAAGCCAAGUAGAGCACAGUCCACCACAGUUAAAUUCUCUGGUACUGUGCCUAUGAGUACUGUGGAGCUGAGGGAGACCACCACAGGGCGGAUGAUUCAUCAUUCAGACAACCCGUCACAGGCCCUUCCUUCCUCUAACAGUCCAGAGGUAAUGAAUACAUCCAGGACAAUGGGGUUGAAAAUCAGAAAAAUAAGAGCAAGCAUAACAAUCGAUCAAAUGUUUCAACAACUAAAAGUAACAGUCAAAAUGAAGGUUUUUAUAUCUGCAAAUGGCUGUUAAAAAAUAAUAAAACAUUGACUUGAAAAUCCAUAGGGAUAUUUAUAACCACUUUUCAGGAAGAAUUCAUGAGAAUUCUCCACAUAAAACUGGCUGUGCAGCAAUUGGACAGACCCUGAGGAGAGCGGGCUGGAGUGAACAGACAUCCCCAUCACAGGAUCGAUGGCGGCUCUCAGAUCAGUGGGGCUGAGUGGUGACAUGGACUGUAACUGCUCGAGACUCACGGCAUCAUGCAUGAUUGAUGGGCCGGAGACCUAGAUCACUGUGGGUCUCCUCAUUCCAAUGCAUCCAGUAUGAGAGGAACACUAUGUCAGUCCCUUAUACAUUUAUCAUCAUUGUUAUGUUUUAUUUAACAAAGAAAUAUACACCCUAAGUGCAACUGUCAGUGGAAAAAUUUCUCAGGUAAAGCAGUGGCAAGACUCCAAAGAGCUCAAACUAAAAUUAAAUUAUAUUGUAAUGACUUUUUUCUUCAUAGCCAAUUUAAUACCACACUCUUCCUCCUGUUGUUUAAGCUCUUCCCUCUGUCCUUUUUUGCUUAUUAAUUGCAGUUAGCAACCUAUGCACGAAUGAUUAAACAUUUGUACAUAUAAAUGUAUAUAAUACCCAUAAAGACUUUUUAUAAUUU